AUUGAACGCUAGCGGGAUGCCUAACACAUGCAAGUCGAACGAGUGGCGGACGGGUGAGUAAUGUCUGGGGAUCUGCCCGAUGGAGGGGGAUAACUACUGGAAACGGUGGCUAAUACCGCAUACUAUCGGAUGUGCCCAUAUGGGAUUAGCUAGUAGGUGGGGUAAAGGCUCACCUAGGCGACGAUCCCUAGCUGGUCUGAGAGGAUGAUCAGCCACACUGGGACUGAGACACGGCCCAGACUCCUACGGGAGGCAGCAGUGGGGAAUAUUGCACAAUGGGCGCAAGCCUGAUGCAGCCAUGCCGCGUGUAUGAAGAAGGCCUUAGGGUUGUAAAGUACUUUCAGCGGGGAGGCGUUACCCGCAGAAGAAGCACCGGCUAACUCCGUGCCAGCAGCCGCGGUAAUUC
rnacentral:rRNA from 1 species